rnacentral:rRNA from 1 species
GACGGAGGGGGCAAGCGUUGUCCGGAAUUAUUGGGCGUAAAGAGCUCGUAGGCGGUCUGUCGCGUCGGCUGUGAAAACCCGGGGCUUAACUCCGGGUCUGCAUUCGAUACGGGCAGGCUAGAGUGUGGUAGGGGAGAUCGGAAUUCCUGGUGUAGCGGUGAAAUGCGCAGAUAUCAGGAGGAACACCGGUGGCGAAGGCGGAUCUCUGGGCCAUUACUGACGCUGAGGAGCGAAAGCGUGGGGAGCGAACAGG